rnacentral:lncRNA from 1 species
CAGAGUCUGUAUACCCUUCGGGCACACUCUGUUUUAUUAACAUAUAAAAACAUUCGGCUCUUUCAGCCGACCAAUCACUGUGUAUUCCAUAUAUUCAGCUCAUCAGCCGACCCAAAACUCUGUGCAUUUUAUUAAUUCGGCUCAUCUAGCCGAACCGAUUCUACAGUAAAGGUUUUCGAACUCGGCUAAUCCGAUCCCUCAUCAGCCGAAUCGCUUGAUCCAGUCGAAGGACGCAAACUUCGAGGGUCACCAUCCGAAGCCGACAUGCUCCCCGAGGAGGAUC